UACGUAGGGUGCAAGCGUUGUCCGGAAUUAUUGGGCGUAAAGGGCUCGUAGGCGGUCUGUCGCGUCGGUAGUGAAAACUCAGGGCUUAACCCUGAGCCUGCUUCCGAUACGGGCAGACUAGAGGUAUGCAGGGGAGAACGGAAUUCCUGGUGUAGCGGUGAAAUGCGCAGAUAUCAGGAGGAACACCGGUGGCGAAGGCGGGUCUCUGGGCCGAUACUGACGCUGAGGAGCGAAAGCGUGGGGAGCAAACAGG
rnacentral:rRNA from 1 species